rnacentral:tRNA from 1 species
GAGGAUAUAACUCAGCGUUAGAGUGCAUGCCUAGCAUGCACAAGGUCCUGGGUUCAAUCUCCAGUACCUCCA